UCUGAUAUAGCUCAGUGGUAGAGCGCCCGGCUCUCGGUCCGGGUGGACGCAGGUUCGAGCCCUGCUAUCAGAACCA
rnacentral:tRNA from 1 species